GACGAACGCUGGCGGCAUGCCUUACACAUGCAAGUCGAACGGCAGCGCGGACUUCGGUCUGGCGGCGAGUGGCGAACGGGUGAGUAAUGUAUCGGAACGUACCAUUCAGUGGGGGAUAACGCAGCGAAAGUUGCGCUAAUACCGCAUAUUCUGUGCGCAGGAAAGCAGGGGAUCGCAAGACCUUGCGCUGAUUGAGCGGCCGAUAUCAGAUUAGCUAGUUGGUGAGGUAAAGGCUCACCAAGGCGACGAUCUGUAGCGGGUCUGAGAGGAUGAUCCGCCACACUGGAACUGAGACGCGGUCCAGACUCCUACGGGAGGCAGCAGUGGGGAAUUUUGGACACUGGGCGCAAGCCUGAUCCAGCCAUGCCGCGUGAGUGAAGAAGGCCUUCGGGUUGUAAAGCUCUUUCGGCCGGGAAGAAAUCGUAUGGGUUAAUACCCUGUGCGGAUGACGGUACCGGCAUAAGAAGCACCGGCUAACUACGUGCCAGCCGCCGCCGCGGUAA
rnacentral:rRNA from 1 species